CUUGGGACCAGUUAACUGAGGGUGAGGGUUUCCAGUCAUGGCUCUCUGACAUGGCUCCCAAGGGCCAGCAAAGGCCUCUGGGAGAAACAGCCUAUAGAAUAUGGAGUCACACACAGAGCGCACCCCUCCUGGGCAGAGUGGGUCUCCCCAUCUUGCUGCUCCCCUGCUAUGAGCUGGGAGGAAGAAGAGAGCGUGGCCAUCACCUCACGUGUGUAAGGUCUCCUUUUGUCCUCAUGAGGAGGGAUGGAAGGGACCGCCGUUGUCUUUACAAGGUUCCUACACCAAAGGCAGUGGAAAUCGCUGUUGAGGGAGACUCUCUUUUCUGCAUCACCUGUUCCAUCAAUCUGGGAUCCUGAGUUCUGUCCUGAUGUAGACGACAUGACUGGAAAGUGACAAACCUGGGGCGCAUCAGCUCAGUCCCAGCCCCGCCUCCCCACUGCCCGACCACUGAAAGGAACCCUUGACUAACUUACACCAAGGAUAGAAAGAAACAGCCAAAUGAAGAUUGCUUCUGCCCUGGCCUAAAAACCGGUAUCGAAGAUGGUCUAUUUGAUUGUUCAUUCCUCUCAGGAUUUGAUUCUGGGGGGAAAAAGUUUCUCUCCUACAGUUAUGGGAAGUUUCCUUCUGUGGAUAUAUCUAGAUCUAGACAGAUGACUCUAUAUAGAUAUAGGUAUAUAAUUUUUGGCUUGGCUGGGAGAAACAUCAUUUUUUUAUAAAAAUCUUUUAAAAAUUAUUUUAAUUUUUGAGAGAGAGACAGCAUGAGAAGGGGAGGGA